GUCGGGAUAGCUCAGUUGGUAGAGCAGAGGACUGAAAAUCCUCGUG
rnacentral:tRNA from 15 species